rnacentral:rRNA from 1 species
UACAGAGGGGGCUAGCGUUGUUCGGAAUUACUGGGCGUAAAGGGUGCGUAGGCGGCUUACCAAGUCAGGUGUGAAAUCCCGGGGCUCAACCUCGGAAUUGCACUUGAAACUAGUAGGCUUGAGGACGAGAGAGGAUAGUGGAAUUCCUAGUGUAGGAGUGAAAUCCGUAGAUAUUAGGAGGAACACCAGUGGCGAAGGCGGCUAUCUGGCUCGUUUCUAACGCUGAGGCACGAAAGCGUGGGGAUCAAACAGG